rnacentral:rRNA from 1 species
CAGUCGCCACGGUAAUACGGAGGAUCCAAGCGUUAUCCGGAUUUAUUGGGUUUAAAGGGUGCGUAGGUGGCCUGUUAAGUCAGGGGUGAAAGACGGUAGCUCAACUAUCGCAGUGCCUUUGAUACUGACGGGCUUGAAUGAACUAGAGGUAGGCGGAAUGUGACAAGUAGCGGUGAAAUGCAUAGAUAUGUCACAGAACACCAAUUGCGAAGGCAGCUUACUGUGGUUUUAUUGACACUGAGGCACGAAAGCGUGGGGAUCAAACAGGAUUAGAUACCCGAGUAGUCCCUGUCUCUUAUAA